AGAUAGCCUAUCGUAGAAUAGUGCAUAGAGUGUUGCUAAGUCAAACGGCCUGGGCCAUUGCGAGAAAGUGUGAAAGCCCGGCCCGGAAAUUGCAGUUCGUGGCGGGUCGGCAGGCGAACGUCCGCUGACUGCAGCUACCGGUCAGACCCAGUCUAGACAAGCACCGACUGGCAGACAGGCACCGUAGCAACCACAAUUUCAAAACCCUAUUACUCUCUCUCUCUCUCUCUCUCUACAUUCAUCACUAUGAUCGACGACGAGAGAGAGGGAGAGAUUAGGGAUGCUAUCGAACUUGCUUCGGACGAUGCGCUAUCCAGCCCUAGCAGUAGUGGUUACGUCGGCGAAAGAGGCAGCACCAGUGCCACCAGCGAUUCUCAAAUUGAGAUUGAGCAUGAAGAAAUAGAGGAGGAUGCGAGGAUUGAAAUCGAUUCAAUCUCAAUCUCCGACUCCCACCAUUCUUGGAUUCCUGGAAAACGGCAUCUCGACGAGGAUGAUGCUUCCAUAUCAUGGAGGAAAAGGAAGAAGCAUUUCUUUAUUCUCAGUCAUUCUGGCAAACCUAUAUAUUCUAGGUAUGGAGAUGAACACAGGCUUGCAGGGUUUUCAGCAACUUUGCAAGCAAUCAUUUCCUUUGUUGAGAACGGGGGUGACUCUAUCAAAUUGGUGAGGGCUGGAAAGCAUCAGGUGAUUUUUCUUGUGAAAGGACCAAUCUACUUAGUCUGCAUCAGCUCCACAGAAGAACCUUAUGAAUCAUUAAGGGGGCAGUUGGAGCUGAUUUACGGUCAGAUGCUUGUUAUACUUACAAAAUCAGUAAACAGAUGUUUUGAGAAGAAUCCAAAAUUCGAUAUGACACCCUUGCUUGGCGGAACAGACAUUGUCUUCUCUUCACUAAUUCACUCUUUCAGUUGGAACCCAGCUACAUUUCUUCAUGCCUAUACUUGUCUUCCUCUUGCAUAUGCAACAAGGCAAGCUGCGGGAGCUAUCUUGCAAGACAUUGCUGAUUCAGGUGUUUUGUUUUCUAUACUGAUGUGCAGGCACAAGGUGAUCAGUCUUGUCGGUGCACAGAAAGCUUCCCUUCAUCCUGAUGAUAUGCUGCUGCUGGCCAAAUUUGUCAUGUCAUCUGAAUCCUUCAGGAUGUCAGAAUCUUUUUCUCCAGUUUGCUUGCCAAGAUAUAAUCCUUCAGCAUUUUUGUAUGCUUAUAUCCAUUUCUUUGAUGCUGACACAUAUUUGAUCUUGCUAACCACUAGUUCAGAUGCAUUUUAUCAUCUUAAGGAUUGCAGGAUUCGCAUCGAGAUGGUCCUUUUGAAGUCUAGUGUCCUCAGUGAAGUUCAGAGAUCCUUGCUAAACGGUGGAAUGCAUGUUGAGGAUCUGCCACCUAUACCUCAUUCUGGAUCAUCUCAUUUGGGCCAGCACAUGCCUCCACCAGAUUCUCCUGAAAGAUUUAGGGAACCAAAUUCUGGCACUGGGGGUCCUGCUGGAUUGUGGCAUUUCAUAUACCGCAGUAUAUAUUUGGAUCAAUAUCUCUCUUCAGAGUUUUCAUCAUCAAUUAACACACCUCAGCAGCAGAAAAGACUGUAUAGAGCUUACCAGAAGCUUUUUGCAUCCAUGCAUGCCAAAGGAAUUUGGCCACACAAAACUCAAUUUAGGAGAGAUGAAAACUACGGUAAUAAAUAUUGUGAUUCAUACUUAAUAGCUCAUACUCAUAGCGUGUGUGUGCACUGCGUGAUUUUCUGUCUGAAAUGGAUUCUGCACUGUGCCAUUUUGUAUGGAUAUGGAAAUGACAUAAUGCAUUGUGACAUUUGGUUUUGUGAAUCCCACAUUCAGCAGGAAGCCAAAAUACUUUAAUGACACAUUAUCAUGACGUUACCAAAUUUGCAUCCUUUAUAAUAUUUUAACUUUUAUAUGUUUUUGGUACUUGUACUUAGCAAUGCGCAGAUAAACUGAUUCAUUUUCACAAACUUAUGCAAAAUUAAUUCUUUCAAAAAACAGUUUUCUCCAAGUAAUUUUGUGCUGGUUAUCUAAACAUCUAUGGUUACCAAAGUUCAGUUAGAGUUCUCCGUUAGGGCGACUCGAUAGCGAGAUUAAUAGCCUUUGGUAAAUUCUUUUAUUCAGAAAGUAGGCUCUGCUUUAUCUCUAGAUCGGAUUCCAUGCCUCGUCUCUUCUAGCCCUUGAAAGGCAGGAAGCCCUUAGGUAUAGGUUGGGGAAAACUCCAAACAAAACAAAAAAGGGCCUUAUUCUUCCUUAUAUUAAAUAUAAGUUUUAGAAUUAUAUCCAAAAUCUGCAUAUUUGUUAUAUUUGAGUCUGCAAUUAUGGGUUGAUGCAACUCUUUUCUGGUGCAGGGAGAAAUGGGGGUGGAGUGUAUGAAUUCAUGCUUUAUUUAUGGCCUUUUCUCAAUAUUAAGCUUUAAUGGUAUUUUUAGACUAUGGAGAGAUUGAGCUUGUUCACCAUGAGAUAUUUUUGAGAUUUAUGCCAAGAGAAAUACUGGCAAAACAUUUUUUUUAUUGCCUGAAUUCCACUAAAAAGGGAGUGAAGCCACAUGAUUUGAUGUCUCCUAAAUUAAUUUUACCAAAUAAAAUAUGUUGGAAAAAGCAUGUCAAAAGUGUGUUAUCAGUAUUCUUCUUGAUGGAAUAAAAGACAAACCAAUUGAAUUUGGAUGAAACUCACAGGAUCUUCAUUUUAUGGCAGUUCUUCUCUGUUGGGUGACACAGGAUUUUGAGCUUUAUGCUGCCUUUGAUCCCCUUGCAGACAAGGCCUUGGCGAUAAAGACUUGCAACCAUGUUUGUCAAUGGAUAAAAGAUGUAGAAAAUGAAAUAUUUUUACUAGGAGCUAGCCCCUUUUCAUGGUGAUUUCCAUGCAAAUGCUGUAAACAUGUAUGAUGAUUUUUUAUUCAAUAUAAUUCCUACAAAAUGUAUUAUUU